GGGACAAUUAGAAAUGGGUCUAGUUGACACAAACUGCUGAAAUUACGUAGGUUGACAAUCGUGUGCAGACAUUUUAUUUGACUCUUUUUUAGCAGACUAUAAUACAAGUUUCAUAGCCAUCUAUGAUUCACAUUUACAACUACUCAUAUUGAACAAUAAGUCUUCGCUCGCCGAGUCUCCGCCAUUUUUUUUCGAACACCGAUCGUUAUUCGUAUCGUUAUUCGUACAGCGUAUUUUCUUUCCUCACAUAUUUCUUCAUAGAAAUGCUGAUCAUGUGCAGAGAUGCAGAGCCUGAGUACAUUUUGCCAAGAUGUCGUCUCUUUUUCCUGUACCGGCUGUACGUUUCGUAAGAAACAAUUCAGAAGAAAUCAGAUAAAUAUGUUCAACUUUCGAACUGUGAGAUUUAAAGUUCUUCACAGAGUGCCGUAAGAGUUGGAUACCAAUGAAAAGAUUGAAAAUCAUUUACCUAUCACAAUCACAACUAGUGAUUACCUCAAUUCUUUCCCCUCAUUGAGUGAUGCCGAGCCAGAAUUGUAACACUCCAGGUGAAAUUGAGCUCGUUGAAAUUGGACAACCAUGCCAAGGAUAAAUUCCUCUGUUUCCUGUACCGGCUGUACGUUUUGUAAGAAACACUUCAGAACUAUUCAGGAUUAUCAGUCUAGUAAAAGUAUGAGCUUCUUUGUUGCUGCCCAACGUACACAUGGAUUUGAUGCAGCCAGCUGAGUGCUUUAACUCUUGUUUAGUGUUUUAUGUUCGCGUAGUUGCUGUCCGAUGUGGCACGUUGUUGAAACCUAUGCUGGUGAAAUUUCUUUCUACAUCAAGUUCAACUGGCCGUUCCUUGGUGCUGAUGUUGUGUUACCGAAGUUGCAUCAUAUUUUGUUAAAUUGUCAUCGUGACUUGCAGUUUACCGUUUAAUCGUUUAUAAGUUCAGAAGCAACAAAAACAAAUAUGGGAUGUUCAUGUCAAACAAAUAAUAAACAUGUUUUUGGGGUUGGGAAAGUGGUGGAUGUAUGAGGGGGGAAGGAGGAUAUUUCAAGUUUGGAUAAAAAUUCAUUUAAUCUAUAACCCUACAAAUGUAUCCCUACCAAUUAAACUCCAAGCCCCACAGACUUGUACCUUCCAAUCCUUCAAACCCCGAUAACAUACACCUAUCAACCCUUAAAUCUAUACCCUUAACCCUAUAAACCAAUGUUAAACCUUAACCAUGUAAUAUCUGUAAUAAAUAAAAAAAAACACACUAUAUGAAA
rnacentral:lncRNA from 1 species